rnacentral:rRNA from 1 species
GCAUAUCAAUAAGCGGAGGAAAAGAAACCAACAGGGAUUGCCCUAGUAACGGCGAGUGAAGCGGCAACAGCUCAAAUUUGAAAUCUGGCCUUUGGGUCCGAGUUGUAAUUUGUAGAGGAUGCUUUUGGUGAGGUGCCUUCCGAGUUCUCUGGAAUGGGACGCCGUAGAGGGUGAGAGCCCCGUAUGGUUGGACACCGAGCCUCUGUAUAGCUCCUUCGACGAGUCGAGUAGUUUGGGAAUGCUGCUCUAAAUGGGAGGUAAAUUUCUUCUAAAGCUAAAUACUGGCCAGAGACCGAUAGCGCACAAGUAGAGUGAUCGAAAGAUGAAAAGCACUUUGAAAAGAGAGUUAAAUAGCACGUGAAAUUGUUGAAAGGGAAGCGUCUACGACCAGACUUUUCCCUGGCGGAUCAGCCGGUGUUUUCACCGGUGCACUUCGCUAGGGAGAGGCCAGCAUCGGUCUUCUUAGGGGGAUAAAAGCACUGGGAAUGUGGCUCCUCCGGGAGUGUUAUAGCCCUCUGCCUAAUACCUUUAGGGGGACCGAGGACCGCGCUUCGGCAAGGAUGCUGGCGUAAUGGUCGUCGACGACCCGUCUUGAAACACGGACCAAGGAGUCGAACAUUUGUGCGAGUGUUUGGGUGUUAAACCCUAACGCGUAAUGAAGGUGAACGUAGGUGAGAGCCCUUCGGGGUGCAUCAUCGACCGAUCCUGAUGUCUUCGGAUGGAUUUGAGUAAGAGCAUAACUGUUCGGACCCGAAAGAUGGUGAACUAUGCGUGGAUAGGGUGAAGCCAGAGGAAACUCUGGUGGAGGCUCGCAGCGGUUCUGACGUGCAAAUCGAUCGUCAAAUCUGCGCAUGGGGGCGAAAGACUUAUCGAACCAUCUAGUAGCUGGUUACCGCCGAAGUU